GAGGCAGGGUCAACAGUAAACCUCCCAGAAGCCUUACAUCCAAGAAUCAUGUCAUAACAACCUGGAGGUGGCCUUAGCGUCUUUAAGGCUAUUCCUGUGAACCAAAAAUUCUGGUGAGGAAGAGGCUGAAAGUUACUGGAACUAUUCAAUCAAUUUCCAUAUUUACUGAAAAUGACAUCGUGGAUUCUGUGCAGUUCUGUCUUCUACUACUGUGAUCAUCUAUCAGGCUCCACUGAUGAAAUUCUAACACUUCUGAGUGGAAUGUUGAAGAUCAGACUUGGUACAUAGCCCUCCCAGGACUGGUGCCCAGGAGCCUUUGAAAAGCAUGUUCUCAUGGUUUGGAAUGGUCCCCUCACAGUCCUGGUUGACAUCAUGGCAACGAGAGAAGAGACAAAAAUUAUAAAAGUUCCCUGUGGGGAAAAAUAGCAAGAAAGGAGGCCGGUUGUCCUGAAGGACAUUCUGGAGAAAUGUAGUUUGGGCUCCAGCAGUUCAGACAUCUCUUCAAUCCUAUGAAUCUUGCAAAAAUUACUUUCAAGCCUUCAACAAUGUCUCUUCUAGUUUACUGGAACAGCAAACAGUCCCUAUAGAGACAUAAAGAGGUCAGUGCUUCUGUUACAGUUCUGUUGUCGACCCUCAGUAGGUGAACCCCUCAAACUCUUUAUGCUGCAUUGGUGUUUCUACAUUUUCAAAAUGCAAUGGGUUUUACUACAUAGAGGUCUGAUGGACAGUAAAGAAAUAACAUUAGCAAAACGUUUUAAGCUCGAAGCUGAAUGAUCUCCUGUAAGAAUAAAUAACUAUUUCCAGAU